AGUACUAUAUUUUAAGGCAUUAGGGAAAGAUAAAGGCAAUGUGUGUUUUGAUUGACCUUCAGCCAAAAGGGUCCAUCAGACAAGAGUAGAAACUUACACUAUUGCAAGGGAUUGCUGAAAACAUUAAUUUUUUUUUUUCUUGUGCAUCAUAAACCAUAAUACUGUAAAUAGCAGUAUCUUAUCGUGUACAGUGCUCAAGCACUAGGCUAUCUAUUUAAUACUGUUGCUUAGAUAACUGAGGAGUAAAAGAAGAAAUGAGUGCCUAAUAACAGCUUAACAUUAGAAAGGGCUUCAAAAUGUUGGCCAUCAACAUCAACUGCAGGUGUCAUGAAGCCAUUACAUCCUUCUUUAAAACCCCGGAUCCACUGCAUGCACCAGACUUCAGUAACAGUCAUAUGAUAAAUUAUUAUGCCAAACCUACCACUUUCCAAGUCUCUCCCCUAAAGUAUCUCCAACAAUAAAAGAUAAGCUAAUCCAAGAUUUUAGCAUGAUGAGGAGCAACUGACACCAUGCAAUAAACAAGAAGUUUAUGCACCUGCUCUGAGAUGGAACAGAAUCUAUAGGCGUCUACGAAAGGCAAUUAGAAAAUGCAGCAAAUUGAAACAGGCUUUGUUAUGUACACCUUGAUCUAGCAGUAAAUUCUUUCUGACAUACCAUGGAUUCUGUUAUAUUGUGAUUCACUAAAUGAUGGCUCCAGUGCAAUUGGUUUUUAAGAAAAAUAAUAUAGUAUAGCCACAAAGUAAAGAUGAAACUGUCUUAUUUUUUUGGAUUUAAGCAGUUUUACCUGAUAUUAGUGACAACAGCUGAAGUGAU